rnacentral:rRNA from 1 species
GACGAACCGUGCGAACGUUGUUCGGAAUCACUGGGCUUAAAGGGUGCGUAGGCGGGCUCGUUAGUCGGGGUGAAAUCCCACGGCCCAACCGUGGAAGUGCCUCCGAUACUGCGAGUCUAGAGGGAACAGGGCAUGCGGAACCUCCGGUGGAGCGGUGAAAUGCGUAGAUAUCGGAAGGAACACCGGUGGCGAAAGCGGCGUGCUGGAUUCCUACUGACGCUGAGGCACGAAAGCCAGGGGAGCAAACGGG